UUUCUGAGAUGUCUGGCCUCCUUCAUUUCUGUUCUCUGAAGGAUGCAUGUGGAGGAUCCAUGCUCUUUUGGCAUAUGGAGGCCACAUGGAAACAUGCAAGAGAUUCGAAAAUGAAUAGGUGAUUAGACCUUUGAAAUUGGUUAAUUUGGCCUUUCAUGAUUGACUUGUAAUUUGAGCUCUUUUAUCUACUUGUGGCAGACUGACAUCCAAUCUGUUGAUUAGGUAAUCCAUUCAGUUGUAUCUUUCAAUUGGAACUCUAAUGUAAUCUUCAGCUUUUUUCUUUUUUCAAAAGGGC